rnacentral:rRNA from 1 species
UACGGAGGGUGCAAGCGUUAUCCGGAAUCAUUGGGUUUAAAGGGUGCGCAGGCGGAAUUUUAAGUCAGUGGUGAAAUCCCUUCGCUUAACGAAGGAACUGCCAUUGAUACUGAAAUUCUUGAAUUUGGUUGGCGUGGGCGGAAUGUGCCAUGUAGCGGUGAAAUGCUUAGAUAUGGCACAGAACACCGAUCGCGAAGGCAGCUCACGAAACCAUGAUUGACGCUCAGGCACGAAAGCAUGGGGAGCAAACAGG